UCUCCUGGAAACGGGUGGUAAUGCCGGAUGCUCCAGUUGACCGCAUGGUCCUCUGGGAAAGCUUUUGCGGUAUGGGAUGGGGUCGCGUCCUAUCAGCUUGAUGGCGGGGUAACGGCCCACCAUGGCUUCGACGGGUAGCCGGCCUGAGAGGGCGACCGGCCACAUUGGGACUGAGAUACGGCCCAGACUCCUACGGGAGGCAGCAGUGGGGAAUAUUGCACAAUGGGCGCAAGCCUGAUGCAGCGACGCCGCGUGCGGGAUGACGGCCUUCGGGUUGUAAACCGCUUUUGACUGGGAGCAAGCCCUUCGGGGUGAGUGUACCUUUCGAAUAAGCACCGGCUAACUACGUGCCAGCAGCCGCGGUAAUACGUAGGGUGCAAGCGUUAUCCGGAAUUAUUGGGCGUAAAGGGCUCGUAGGCGGUUCGUCGCGUCCGGUGUGAAAGUCCAUCGCUUAACGGUGGAUCCGCGCCGGGUACGGGCGGGCUUGAGUGCGGUAGGGGAGACUGGAAUUCCCGGUGUAACGGUGGAAUGUGUAGAUAUCGGGAAGAACACCA
rnacentral:rRNA from 1 species